GCCCGGAUAGCUCAGUCGGUAGAGCAGAGGAUUGAAAAUCCUCGUGUCGGUGGUUCGACUCCGCCUCCGGGCACCA
rnacentral:tRNA from 1 species